rnacentral:rRNA from 1 species
ACACCUACGGGUGGCUGCAGUCGAGGAUCUUCGGCAAUGGGCGCAAGCCUGACCGAGCGACGCCGCGUGAAGGAUGAAGGCCUUCGGGUUGUAAACUUCUGUCGGGGGGGAUCAAGGGCAACUUGAGUGAUCCCUGGAGGAAGCACGGGCUAAGUUCGUGCCAGCAGCCGCGGUAAGACGAACCGUGCGAACGUUGUUCGGAAUCACUGGGCAUAAAGGGCGCGUAGGCGGCUUAUCAAGUCAGGGGUGAAAUCCGGCAGCUCAACUGUCGAAGUGCCUUUGAUACUGAUGAGCUCGAGGGAGGUAGGGGUAUGCGGAACUUCCGGUGGAGCGGUGAAAUGCGUUGAUAUCGGAAGGAACGCCGGUGGCGAAAGCGGCGUACUGGACCUCUUCUGACGCCGAGGCGCGAAAGCUAGGGGAGCAAACGGGAUUAGAUACCCCGGUAGUCCUAGCCCUAAACGUUGGGUACUAGAUAGUGGACUUACAUGGGUUCACUGUCGAAGCAAAUGUGUUAAGUACCCCGCCUGGGGAGUAUGGUCGCAAGG